GGGCNUGGGUAGUCAGUGAAGAGGCAGAUGA
rnacentral:tRNA from 1 species